rnacentral:rRNA from 1 species
GGGGAAUCUUAGACAAUGGGGGCAACCCUGAUCUAGCCAUGCCGCGUGAGUGAUGAAGGCCUUAGGGUUGUAAAGCUCUUUCAGCUGGGAAGAUAAUGACGGUACCAGCAGAAAAAGCCCCGGCUAACUCCGUGCCAGCAGCCGCGGUAAUACGGAGGGGGCUAGCGUUGUUCGGAAUUACUGGGCGUAAAGCGCACGUAGGCGGACUGGAAAGUCAGAGGUGAAAUCCCAGGGCUCAACCUUGGAACUGCCUUUGAAACUAUCAGUCUGGAGUUCGAGAGAGGUGAGUGGAAUUCCGAGUGUAGAGGUGAAAUUCGUAGAUAUUCGGAGGAACACCAGUGGCGAAGGCGGCUCACUGGCUCGAUACUGACGCUGAGGUGCGAAAGCGUGGGGAGCAAAC